GACGAACCGUGCAAACGUUGUUCGGAAUCACUGGGCUUAAAGGGCGCGUAGGCGGGCGCACAAGUCAGGGGUGAAAGCCCACGGCUCAACCGUGGAAGAGCCUUUGAUACUGUGUGUCUUGAGGGAGGUAGGGGCGUGCGGAACUUCCGGUGGAGCGGUGAAAUGCGUAGAUAUCGGAAGGAACGCCGGUGGCGAAAGCGGCCUGCUGGACCUCUUCUGACGCUGAUGCGCGAAAGCCAGGGGAGCAAACGGG
rnacentral:rRNA from 1 species